rfam:Eimeria necatrix Houghton genomic scaffold, Enh_scaff71
GGGCGGAUGGUGUAGUGGUAUCACGCCUGAUUUGCAUUCAGGAGGUCCCGGGAUCAAUCCCCGGUCCGUCCA